GCUGGCGGCGUGCCCAAUACAUGCAAGUCAACUGAAGUUAGCGUAUAGCAAUAUAUGCUAACAACGGUGGCGAACGGGUGAGUAACGCGUAGGUAAUCUGCCUUAAGGUCUGAGAUAACCCACCGAAAGGUGAGCUAAUAUUGGAUGAUGCAGCGGCUCCACAUGGAGACAGUUGUUAAAGCUUCGGCGCCUUAAGAUGAACCUGCGUCCCAUUAGACAGUUGGCGGGGUAACGGCCCACCAAAUCUACGAUGGGUAGCUGGUCUGAGAGGAUGGUCAGCCACACUGGAACUGAGACACGGUCCAGACUCCUACGGGAGGCAGCAGUAAGGAAUAUUGCUCAAUGGCCGAAAGGCUGAAGCAGCAACGCCGCGUGAGGGAUGAAGAUCUUUUGGUCGUAAACCUCUGUAGUGAGAGAAAAAUGCUCCGCUCCGCGGAGAUUGAUGGUAUCUCAAAAGUAAGCCCCGGCUAACUACGUGCCAGCAGCCGCGGUAAUACGUAGGGGGCAAGCGUUGUCCGGAUUUACUGGGUGUAAAGGGUGCUCAGGUGGUCGGUCAAGUCAGACGUGAAAUUUCAAAGCUUAACUUUGAAACCGCAUUUGAUACUGUCCGGCUUGCGUACGGAAGAGGUUGAUGGAAUUCCUGGUGUAGCAGUGAAAUGCGUAGAUAUCAGGAAG
rnacentral:rRNA from 1 species